GAUGAACGCUGGCGGCGUGCCUAAUACAUGCCAGUCGAGCGAACAGACGAGGAGCUUGCUCCUCUGACGUUAGCGGCGGACGGGUGAGUAACACGUGGAUAACCUACCUAUAAGACUGGGAUAACUUCGGGAAACCGGAGCUAAUACCGGAUAAUAUAUUGAACCGCAUGGUUCAAUAGUGAAAGACGGUUUUGCUGUCACUUAUAGAUGGAUCCGCGCCGCAUUAGCUAGUUGGUAAGGUAACGGCUUACCAAGGCAACGAUGCGUAGCCGACCUGAGAGGGUGAUCGGCCACACUGGAACUGAGACACGGUCCAGACUCCUACGGGAGGCAGCAGUAGGGAAUCUUCCCCAAUGGGCGAAAGCCUGACGGAGCAACGCCGCGUGAGUGAUGAAGGUCUUCGGAUCGUAAAACUCUGUUAUUAGGGAAGAACAAAUGUGUAAGUAACUAUGCACGUCUUGACGGUACCUAAUCAGAAAGCCACGGCUAACUACGUG
rnacentral:rRNA from 1 species